rnacentral:rRNA from 1 species
AGAGUUUGAUCCUGGCUCAGGAUGAACUUUGGCGGCGUGCUUAACACAUGCAAGUCGAACAGAGUCAUCAUUUUUGAAGCGAUUAGCUUGCUAAGAGUGGAAAAGUUGAUAACUUAGUGGCGGACGGGUGAGUAACGCGUGGGUAACCUGCCUUACACAGGGGGAUAACACUUAGAAAUAGGUGCUAAUACCGCAUAAGCGCACAGUCCCGCAUGGGACAGAGUGAAAAACAUUAGUGGUGUAAGAUGGACCCGCGUCUGAUUAGCUUGUUGGCGGGGUAACGGCCCACCAAGGCGACGAUCAGUAGCCGGCCUGAGAGGGUGGACGGCCACAUUGGGACUGAGACACGGCCCAAACUCCUACGGGAGGCAGCAGUGGGGGAUAUUGGACAAUGGGGGAAACCCUGAUCCAGCGACGCCGCGUGAGUGAAGAAGUAUUUCGGUAUGUAAAGCUCUAUCAGCAGGGAAGAAAGAAAUGACGGUACCUGAGUAAGAAGCCCCGGCUAACUACGUGCCAGCAGCCGCGGUAAUACGUAGGGGGCAAGCGUUAUCCGGAAUUACUGGGUGUAAAGGGAGCGUAGACGGUAAUGCAAGUCUGGAGUGAAAGGCGGGGGCCCAACCCCCGGACUGCUCUGGAAACUGUGUAACUGGAGUGCAGGAGAGGCAGGCGGAAUUCCUAGUGUAGCGGUGAAAUGCGUAGAUAUUAGGAGGAACACCAGUGGCGAAGGCGGCCUGCUGGACUGUAACUGACGUUGAGGCUCGAAAGCGUGGGGAGCAAACAGGAAUAGAUACCCUGGUAGUCCACGCCGUAAACGAUGAUUCCAAAGUGUGGGUGGGUAUGGACCCCAUCGGUGCCGCCAGCAAACGCAGUAAUUAUCCACCUGGGGAGUACGUUCGCAAGAAUGAAACUCAAAGGAAUUGACGGGGACCCGCACAAGCGGUGGAGCAUGUGGUUUAAUCCGAAGCAACGCGAAGAACCUUACCAAGUCUUGACAUCCUCCUGAAUAAAGGGUAACGCCUUUAGGCCUUCGGGACAGGAGAGACAGGUGGUGCAUGGUUGUCGUCAGCUCGUGUCGUGAGAUGUUGGGUUAAGUCCCGCAACGAGCGCAACCCCUAUCUUUAGUAGCCAGCAGGCAAGGCUGGGCACUCUAGAGAGACUGCCGGGGAUAACCCGGAGGAAGGUGGGGAUGACGUCAAAUCAUCAUGCCCCUUAUGAUUUGGGCUACACACGUGCUACAAUGGCGUAAACAGAGGGAAGCGAGCCCGCGAGGGGGAGCAAAUCCCAAAAAUAACGUCCCAGUUCGGAUUGUAGUCUGCAACCCGACUACAUGAAGCUGGAAUCGCUAGUAAUCGCGGAUCAGAAUGCCGCGGUGAAUACGUUCCCGGGUCUUGCACACACCGCCCGUCA